rnacentral:rRNA from 1 species
CCUACGGGAGGCUGCAGUGGGGAAUAUUGGACAAUGGGCGAAAGCCUGAUCCAGUCAUGCCGCGUGUGUGAAGAAGGCCUUCGGGUUGUAAAGCACUUUCAGUGGGGAAGAAAGCCUUGGGGCUAAUACCCUCGAGGAAGGACAUCACCCACAGAAGAAGCACCGGCUAACUCCGUGCCAGCAGCCGCGGUAAUACGGAGGGUGCGAGCGUUAAUCGGAAUUACUGGGCGUAAAGCGCGCGUAGGCGGUCUGAUAAGCCGGUUGUGAAAGCCCCGGGCUCAACCUGGGAACGGCAUCCGGAACUGUCAGGCUAGAGUGCAGGAGAGGAAGGUAGAAUUCCCGGUGUAGCGGUGAAAUGCGUAGAGAUCGGGAGGAAUACCAGUGGCGAAGGCGGCCUUCUGGACUGACACUGACGCUGAGGUGCGAAAGCGUGGGUAGCAAACAGGAUUAGAUACCCGAGUAGUC